UAGGCCACUCAUUUGGAAAGAAGCAUGCC
rnacentral:piRNA from 1 species